rnacentral:lncRNA from 1 species
UCUGUGUAAAUACUGAAAGAAAACUGGUGCAGCUAUAUUAAUAUCAGACAAAGUAGACUUUGAAUCAAGAAGUAUUAGAGAGACAUUGCUGAAUGAUAAAACAGUCAGUUCAAAAGGUGGUAAGGUGGCACAUGCCUGUAAUCCCAGUGACUUGGGAGGCUGAGGCCUGAAGACUUUUGAGUUCAAGGCCAGCCUAGCAAUGUACUGAGACCCUGUCUUAAAAUAAAAAGAGCUUGGUAUGUAGCUCAGUGGGAUAAUAAUAACCCUAACCCUAACCCUAUGGAUUAAUAAAUAAAUAAACAAAUAAAAAUAAAUAAAUAAAUAAAGAAAUGAGGAUAGCUCAGUGGUAGAGUGCUCUUGGAUUCAAUCCUCAGGACUGGGGGAAAAAUGACAUACAUAACAAACCUAAAGUAAUAAGCAAUAUUAAGGUUUAGAUAUGAGGUGUCCCCCUAAAGCUCAUGUAUAAGUGCAAAAAAGUUUAGAGGUGAAAUGAUCAGGUAAUGAAAGCCUUGACCUAAUCAUAAUCAGUACAUUAAUCUACCUGAAUGGAUUAACUGGGUGGUAACUGUAGACAGGUGGGGUGUGGCUGGAGGAGGUGGGUACCUGGGGGCAUGACUUUGGGGCUUAUAUUUUGUUCCUGGUGAGUGGAUCUCUCUGUUUCCUUGUUGCCCUGUCCUGAGCUGCUUUCCUUCUCCACUCCCUUCUGCCAUGAUGUUCUGCCUCACCUUGGGCACAGAGCAAUGGAGUUGGCUGUCUAUGGACUGAAACCAUGAACCCCAAAGAAACUUUUCCUCUUCUAUGUUGUUUUAGUUAGGUCUUUUUGUCACAGUGGCAGAAAAGGCUGACAAGGCAGAAAGGCUGACUAACACAUGCAGCUAAGAAUACAUUGUAAAAAUACAUUAAAAAAAAAAAAGAGUUAACAGAACUUAAAGUGGGAAUAGACAAAGCAAAUCCACAGCCAGACUGGAGAUUUAGCGAAUUUCUCACAGAAACAGAACACACAGAUAAAAC